CAGCCGCCGCGGGAAUACGUAGGUGGCAAGCGUCGUCCGGAAUUAUUGGGCGUAAAGGGCUCGCAGGCGGUUUCUUAAGUCUGAUGUGAAAGCCCCCGGCUCAACCGGGGAGGGUCAUUGGAAACUGGGAAACUUGAGUGCAGAAGAGGAGAGUGGAAUUCCACGUGAAGCGGUGAAAUGCGUAGAGAUGUGGAGGAACACCAGUGGCGAAGGCGACUCUCUGGUCUGUAACUGACGCUGAGGAGCGAAAGCGUGGGGAGCGAACAGGAUUAGAUACCCCCGUAGUCCCUGUCUCUUAUAC
rnacentral:rRNA from 1 species